UACGGAGGGUGCAAGCGUUAUCCGGAUUCACUGGGUUUAAAGGGUGCGUAGGUGGGUUGGUAAGUCAGUGGUGAAAUCUCCAGGCUUAACUUGGAAACUGCCAUUGAUACUAUCAAUCUUGAAUACCGUGGAGGUCAGCGGAAUAUGUCAUGUAGCGGUGAAAUGCUUAGAUAUGACACAGAACACCAAUUGCGAAGGCAGCUGGCUACACGAAUAUUGACACUGAUGCACGAAAGCGUGGGGAUCAAACAGG
rnacentral:rRNA from 1 species